CCGGGGAGCAGCAGCCAUGGGGCGGCAGCUCAGGCUCUCUGCCUCCUGAGACUUUGUUCUCUCUUUCUCUCUUUCCUUUUUUUUUUCCUUUUCUUUAAAAGGCAAACUCCGUGGGAAAGCCCCGGACAGAGCUCAGGCUCAGCGCAAGCUCCACGCAGCCCUGCGCUCUGCUGGGCUCCCUGCAGAUGGAUGCCCCACAGCAGGGUGAACUUUUACACCACUGCUCAUGGCAGCGAUCCCCGUGCGUUGCCCCGGGCCGUCCCUCGCCACGCUGGGCAGCCCCCGAGGUGCACGGACCCCGCUGCGGGCGGUGUCGCCCAAACCCUCUCCUAGCUGGGGGCCGGGGAGGGCGAAUCCCCCUCGGAAACGUUCCCAAAUCCCCCCUGUGCCACCGCUCGGCUGCGGGCAGAGCUCUGCCCCCCACCAUGAGCGAAUCCCCCCGGCUCGCCGUCGGGGACCCCACGGCACCGGCGGCCGCUCCGUGCCCGCGGAGCUGAGCAGGACCGGGGCGGGGGGCGGCCGCCGAAAGGGGACCGAGACCUGCGACCCCCGGCCCCGGCAGCACGGCACCGCGUGGGUUUGGUCCCCCACAGCCUCCUGCUCCCCGGGGUGCCCCCUCCCAGGAGCCCCCCCCCGUCCGUACAAGGCCGGCAGCGCGGCCCCUCCGCCCCGGCCCCGCCGCAUUUUUCUGCCUUGUAUGGCCCGAGCCGGGCCGGCCGGGGCGGGACGAGGGGCCCGGCACCGCCCCGGUCGCCCUCCAGCACCUAGGGCCGAGCCGCCGGCCGGUCCCGGGCAGAGCAGCGCCGCCCGCCCCGCAGUGCCCCCGCUCCGGCACAGAUGCAGAGGAACUUUGCGUCUUACGUAGUUUUGCCUGUGAAAACUCGAGGUCCUCUUGGCUUCUUCCGCUCAGCUGCUUCCCUCCGUGCAUGCCUUUUCGGUACAAAGUGUUAUGAAGGUGAUAAAAGCCAGGGAGGUUCUUAAGCAUCGACGUGUAAAAGAAAGCAGUGGCUGCAGCAGCAUUCUUUGGAAUGGAACAUCCCGAAGUGUCAACAACCAGCGCUGCUUACCAAAGAUGGUUGGUUUCUUCGGUCACUUGAAUUUUUUCCUCUCGUCACUGGCAGGCUCUGGGUUGCUGUAGGAGGAGUUUGCGGUCGCCUCCCCCUCUGACGUCCAGAGGCCAGAUUCUCCCACCAAGGUGAGCCCCUUCAUUCCCCUAGGAGAAUGU
rnacentral:lncRNA from 1 species